UGAACGCUGGCGGUAGGCCUAACACAUGCAAGUCGAACGGCAGCACAGGAGAGCUUGCUCUCUGGGUGGCGAGUGGCGGACGGGUGAGGAAUGCAUCGGAAUCUACUCUUUCGUGGGGGAUAACGUAGGGAAACUUACGCUAAUACCGCAUACGACCUACGGGUGAAAGCCGGGGACCUUCGGGCCUGGCGCGAAAGAAUGAGCCGAUGCCCGAUUAGCUAGUUGGCGGGGUAAGAGCCCACCAAGGCGACGAUCGGUAGCUGGUCUGAGAGGAUGAUCAGCCACACUGGAACUGAGACACGGUCCAGACUCCUACGGGAGGCAGCAGUGGGGAAUAUUGGACAAUGGGCGCAAGCCUGAUCCAGCCAUACCGCGUGGGUGAAGAAGGCCUUCGGGUUGUAAAGCCCUUUUGUUGGGAAAGAAAAGCAGUCGGUUAAUACCCGAUUGUUCUGACGGUACCCAAAGAAUAAGCACCGCUAAUU
rnacentral:rRNA from 1 species